GCAUGUGUAAUGAUGGGUCAACAGAAUGGGGAUCCAUUUGCAGCUUUUAUUAAGAAUAGUAUACACACAGGUAAGGGCAGAGGCAGAGACGUAAACGGGGACAGGCAAUGGUCGAGGCAGGCGGCAGACAAACGGUAUCAGGAAGCAGGCAGAGAUCAGGGCAGGCGGCAAACAAACACAGUCCAGUAAGCAGGCAAGGAUCAAGGCAGGCAGCAGAGAAUCACAAGAGGUAAACAGUCCAAACGGCAACAGUAUAACAAUCCACAGAAAACGCUUAGAAAUGAUCACCGGGGCAAAUCAAGACUUCGCAGUGUGUGUGUGUGUGUGUGCAAUCAGUCCCAGGAAUGAGGGCCUAUGGGAAAUGUAGUCUGAAUGAUGGUUAUCAAUAUUCCGGUGAAGGCUCCCUCCGGUGGUGCGGGGGAGGAAGUGCGGGAGCCUCACUUGUGACAGCAUGGUUUUUAUCCUCCUUUUCCUCUUUAUACCACCUUUAUUAUUUCUUUCAUUUGAGCUUAUAAUUUGCUUAAAACUCAAAACAUUUGUUCCACUGUCCCAAACUUAAAACGAGUUGCAAAUGGGAGUUUUUCUUAUUUCCAUAAUGUGACAUAUCUGUGUGAAACCAGAAUGAAGCCAAUUUUGCUAAAACAAUUAAAUACUAGAAAUUAAUGUGGUACUGGUUAACACUGAAGAAAAAGAGAGAGCAUUUUGAUGAAAGAUUGAUAAGAUAGACAUUUUUAGAAAAGCGUGCACUCAUUAAUUGUUCACUAGGAAUGUGUAUUAAUAAAGUAAAGGCUUGAUUAUGAUUUCAUAUUGACUGUAAAUGACUGAGUGUCACUGUUGUUGUUUAAGGUUAUUGUGCUGAUUUCUGUGAGAGACACAAGACCUCCAGAAAAUGACAUUCAUGAGUGAAUGACUGAUGCUCAUCAUGAACCUUGUGACUCUUCAAAUGCAAAGCCACAUGUGGAUCAUCUCGACACAUUUGUCUGAUCAUCGGCUCUAAAUCCCAGAUUUACUGAAUCAUCUGGAGCUCUGAACCGUCUGGAGAAUCUGAACCGUCUAAAAUUAAGCAAACAAAACUUUGCUUAAUUUUAUCUUUUGGCUCAGAGGCAUUUUGUGUAAUUUAGAUAUCAAGAUGAUGAGUUUGUCUCCUGCCUCAGAUCCAGCUGUUUGUGGAUUGAGUUGUGAUGUGACUGUGGUUGGUUUACUGUGAGACACUUUCUGACAUUUUUCUCCUGGUUUUGGACUUGUAAAUGAAAUAGGGAUUUGUAUUAUUGUUGUUGUUUAGCCUACUAUAUAUAAGAACUAAAUAAAAGAUCAACUUUUCUUCCCAUUACUGAAAUGUUGUCAUUGUAAUGCUGGAGCUGGAGACAGCUGUCCUCCUUUUCUUCAUGGCAACAAACAAGAGCAUAAUCAGUAACCUAGGAAAUGGAAAAGAAGCGGGAAAAGAAGGGAAACAGGAACAGAACACAAAGAAACAAUGAAAUACAAAAAAACUCCAUUAAACAACAUAAACCUGAAAAUAAAUUUUACACAAAACAUUCUGCUUCAUUUUUUCUUUGGUGAGAGAAGAAAAGCAUUUUUUCUGUUUAAUUUAGCAACCAAGGCAAAGGGAUUGUUUUACACUAACAGUCCUAAUGUGAUGAGUUU